UCGACCACCCCCUAACCCUAAUUCACGCGCAGCAACAACGCCUCCCUCUCUCCCUCAUUUUCUCCAUUCGAGUCUCCUUCUCCAUCCUUCUCAUGCAAACAUGCAGGAUGGCAGCAGUGGUGGUGGACUCAUCGUCGCUCUCACGGCAUCUUCGCGUGUCCCAGGUACAGCGCUCUUCUCCUCCUCCAUCCUUCUCACGCAUGACCAGUAGUCGUUCUUCGAUGGUGCUGUCACUCUCGCUCCCAAUAACCCUGCAUCGGCACCCCUUCCGUGUCCCUCCAUGGCUCAACACCUAUCGCGUUGUGUCUCCCUCUCUGAAGUCGUCAUGCUGCCAUCUCUCUCUCCUUCACUCGUCACACCUCCGUUUCCAUUUCUUAACCCUCCUCCUCACCACCCGUUAGUGCCGACUGUCAGCCACGUUCAGCAUUUGUAGCGCCGUGAUAUUGAUGGUUAGGGUUUCGAUACUUUAAGCAUUCACGGUGAACUGAAAUAAAAUAAUAAGGACCAGGUGAACUCAGGAAACUAAAGAUGGUUGCAAGAAAAACUGGUGCACUUUAAGAAGCAAAGGACAAACUUUAAGAAACGGUGGAGGAACUCACCUGGCAUCUCCAACUAGAAAAAAGUUUGCAGACCAACCUCGUCGAGUCCAAAGCACAAGAGAUAUCGAAACUGCAGAAUUCAUUACAGGAGAUGCAUGGUAUAAUUGAUGAAACCACUGCUCUGCUUGUCAAGGAGCGAGAGAAUGUAAAGAAGGUUACCGUCGAAGCAACUCCGGUUAUCCAAGAAAAGGAGGUUAUUAUUGAAGACACUGCAAAGAUUGAUGAACUAACAGUGGAAGUUGAGAGGCUAAAGAUGCUUUGUACUGUUUAUGCAAAGGGGAAAGGCCUUCUAUGACUUCCAGUUCAACAACACAAGGCUUGUAAAAUCCCCAAGCCUUAUGUAUGAUCCAAGGGAAGGAAGUUUGACACGGCUAGAGAAAGGAGGAACAACAAAGGACUUAGGGUUUAAGUGGUAUUGUUUUUGUAUUUUUCUUCAAUUUUUAGUUUUGGAAUUUGAACUCAAGAUUUAUUUUGUAUUUGAGUAUUAGUUUUUUAAUGUAAAAAAUAAUUAUAGCAAAAGUUAUAUAUGUCACUAAUUACUGUUUGAUUUUUCUUGUAAUAAAAA